UUUUGUUGGAACCUGUGACAGAAAUCGGUACUUCUAUUUAUUAUUUAUUUCACUCAUCCUGACCAUAACCCUUUUGUUUGUUUUUUAAGCAUGUACUUUUUUGUAUUUAGCCCUAUAGUUAAGAUUUAUUUAUUUUAACAUAAAAUUUGCAUAUAAAAUUUCCAUCCAUUUGAAUUACACAAUGUUAACAUAAUUGAACUUGAAAUGUGAUGGUUAUUUGUCAACGUAAGUAAAACGAGAAUGAGAUUCAUGUAAUAGUACUAAUAGACUGAAUAUGUUUUAAAAGCACAUUAAUCAGGUUUUUAUAUUUUAAACCUGUUCAAUCUAUGUUCAAACUUUUUAAUUGAUAAAACUUAAUUUCUUUCACAAUUAACAUAUUUGUGCUGAUUCUAAGCAAUCAAAAUAAAUGCAUUAUGAAACUGAUUAAUUUUUUUGUUGUUUCGCAAUUAACAUAUCUAUGCUGAAUCUAAGCAACCUAAAUUAAUUUUAUUUUCUUUUUUUUUUACUUUUACUAUUGCAAUCAAAUAGAUGCACAUGCCUAAUAAUAAACUAAGCCAUGAUUCAUUUUUGGGAUAUUUUACGCAAUGAUCUCUAUGCAGGUGGUUUGCUUCUGAAACCAGUUCUGUCUGGACCCAGUGAGGCCUAUGUGAGAUCUGAAGUUCAGUUUGACUGUGCAGUUCCAGGCUGGUCUUCACCCCUGACCUUUGAACUCCGGAAGGAUGCAGGGGACCUUAUUGCAGCAGAAAACAACGUCAAAGUCACCUUCACCCUACAGGUCACCGAGGGGUCAGAGGGCGAGUACUACUGCAGACUGACCGCCGGAGGUCAAACCAGCAACUCGAUCCACUUCCAAGCAGUGAUUCCUGUCAUAGGAGCCCAAUUGAGCUCAGAUCCCGAUCCAGCGAUCAUCUAUGAAGGACAGAAGCUUGUCCUGCGCUGUCUCGUCAGGAAGGGGACGCAUCUGUCCUUCACAUGGUACCACAACACACAGGAAUUGGACUCCUCUUCAGAGCUCCACCGGCUCUCUGGAGACGCUCUCACGGUGGACGGGGCGACUGAAAUGCAUGCUGGGAUAUACUCAUGCACCGCUCAAAACCAGAUGACGGUCAACCCCAGAUUCUCCAGCAGCCGAAACCUCCUCGUCACGGUCAAAAAGCACAUCUCUGUGCCCUCGUUAUCGUUUACGGUCUUCUCUAACGGCUCCGGCCUAACAGCCAACAUCAGCUGCCGUUCUGAGCGCGGAUCUGCGCCCGUGACGUUCAGACUGAUGUUGGACGGACUGGAGCUGGAUGUGAAGCGAGAGGAUUCACUGGAGUCCUGGUUCGUUCUGCCGGUCUCUGUGGGUCUGGAUCUGGGAGUCGCUCAAUGUGAAGCACAAACAGAAACACAGCAGCUGCUGUCGGAUCCCGUGCGUUUACUCGUAGUUUCAGUAGGUGGCGCUGUGCGUGUCACAGUAACGUACCUCUACGACGCCGACGGGACGGUGGCAGCCGCUCGGCUCAAAUGCGUCCCAGACAGAGGAACGUUUCCCACAUUCUCCUGGUGUCUGAACCGUUCCUCCCUUCCAGCAGAGGGCGCUGCUCAUGCGGUCACUCAUCACGGUCAGAUCUUGAUCCUCACAGAAGUCAGUGCUGGGUUUUACGGCUGCAGGGUGAGGGACAGUUUUAACGACAGCUCAGUCUGGGUGUUGAGCGAGGACAUCUUUAUUCAGAAGACAGGUGAGCGUGUCCUUCACGUCAAGUCCAUUUCCAGAAAGACGCAGAAGCCGAUGAGGGUUUUGUUGUUUUUGCACAGAUUUGGCAGCGACGCCCAUAGAGGUGAUUGCGUUGGUCUUCUGUGGUUUUCUGUCGAUUGUGAUUGUGUUAUGCUCAUUCUUUAUGUUCUGGAGCACCAAGAACAGAAACAACACCUGCAAACAUCACAGUAACCAGGACGUGAUCCAGUCUGAGAUGAUAACGUGAGUCUGGUUUAGUCUCUCUUCAGCUUUAUUCAGGUUUGAUGCUGCUGUAAAGAACGCUCUCUUCUGUUCCUCUCUGCAGAAUGGACGUUCCUGUAGCUGAUGUUUCCUCUGAACCCCAACCUGUGGAAAUGAAAACCGUCAUCAGGGAGUUUGAGGCCUAGAGGUCUAGACCAGACCAGACCUGGAGCCAGUGUCCUGCAGAGAGUCUACUAAUCCUAAACACUUUGAUUAGCUGGUUCAGGUGUGUUUAAUUAAGGUUAAAGAUGAACUCUGACUGGACAUCAAUCACUACUGUUUUCUAUCAAUGAGAUUGUAAGGCUUGUAUAUACCAAAUAAAUGUUUAAUUUACCAAAUGCUUUUACUGAAUAUGCUUCUAUAGAGACAGAUUCCUAAUGAAAACAUCUCUCAUAAGGCAGUUUUUAUAUUUAAUUAUAUAGUCAUGUUCAUAUUUCGUUGUUUAAAUAUAAUCCUCUAAACAGUAGCUGUCAUAAAAACUUUGAUUUAUUCAAACAUAAGUUAAAUAAUGAAGCCGUUGCAUAAAAAAUCCAUUGAAUGUGUUAUAGAAUGAAUAAAAUGCUCCUCUCUAGAGCUGAAUAUGGAGUUUAUGCUCACUGAAGUGUUUUUCCGAAUGUGAAUGUUAUUGUUUACAAGCUGUUACUUACCUCUUGAAACACUGUUUGAAUGAUUACAUGAGAUAUGAUUUAUUUCUGUGAGUUGUUCUGUUUCCUUCAAUAUACCUUCUGAUGAUUGUUCAUGUUUAUUUUGUGUUAUAACUAGUAGUAAAGCCGAAGAGAUGAUGAUCGGUUGAGGCUACAGCGGUCUCAUGCCAAAAUGGCAUUUCCUGUUUGAAUUUCUUAAUCAGUUUGAUAGAAUUUUGAUGGAAUUUAGAUCUUGAGAUUUAAGAAUUGAUAUUAAGAUUAAUCGAUGAAUUUAUAUAACCGUUAACCAAGCCCUCAGUUUAUGUUGGGAUUUUUUACAACUUUACACUUUGCGCUGUUGCCAAACUCGGUGUACUGAACCGAGGUCACAUACUAAGUUUUAAUAAUAUGUCAAGAAGAGACUUACGUAUUUGGUGUUUUGCCAGUUUUGUUGGUGCAUAAAAGAAAAAUGAUUUUAAAAUACCAAAAGCAGCUUUUGUCCAGCAUAGAUACCUGACCAAACCUGGAGGAAUCUGAAAAAAAAACUAAAAAAAAAAAAAAAAAAAAAACGUUAGAACUAAAUUAGUUAAAAUAAAUUAAUAAAUAAUAGAGUCAUGAUUUAUAACUUUCCCAUACUAGAAAAUGUUCCCUAGCAUAGAUACUGAACCAACUGGAAGAAUCAGAAAAAACUAAAAAAAAAAAAAAAAAACGUUUAAGAACUAAAUUGUUUAAAAUAAAUUAUAAAUAAUAGAGUCAUGAUUUAUAAUUUCCCCAUACUGAAAAUGUUCAUCUCACUAUACAACUGACUAAACUUUACCAAAUGUCUUAUACAACAAUGUUUGACAGACAUUAAUGAACAAACACACACUCAGGCUGCAUUGGUGCAGUAACACUUAUAAUGACGUAUAUUGAUUAUAUGAGUGCAGUGCAUUGGUCAUUUAUGUAGAUGUUCUCUACAAUCCUCCAUGCCAAUCUUGAGUUGUCAUUUGCGCUGGCAUCUGCCCUAUCUGUCCUCAACACAUGUGCUGUUUAGGGUGGGUCUCACUGAGUCCGUGUCAACCUGCUUUCACUGCUCCAUUAAUAAUGAAGUUCUUCUCUGGAUAUUGUGCUCAUUUCUUCAGCAAGGAUGGAAUCGAGGCAUACACACUUAUUCUCAUAGGUGGAGGAAACUUGUGCAUUUCUGAUAGAUGUUUUCAUGUGUUGUCUGUUGAAGUCUGUUUCAUAUGCACUUAUUAUUUUUCACCAGGUAUUUCAGUUUUGCAUCCAAGGAUGGGUAAGUGACUUUCUUGCCAUGUUUAUUUGGGGUUUUAUAGAUAAUUAAAAGUUAAAUAAAUACUGAUAUGUUUAACACCCUCAGAAAGUGGAAUGGUCAAGGGUUCAAUGGUCAAUUCCCGGGGAAUGUGUGUGAACUGAUAAAAAAAAAAAAAAUCAAUAUCAAUUUGGGUAAAAGCAUCUGCCAAAAUAUGCAUCACUGUAAAUGUGUUGUUCACACAAGUCAGUAAUGUUGUUGCAUCAUGGCACAGCAUGAAGUCAGUUCUCCACAAUCUCAUUAACACGACCAACUAACCACAAACAAAUUAAAUACUGUCUUCCUCUUCAACACAUCUACUUGAUCUCGCAUUUCAAACCCAAACUUCUGUCUGUUAAAAGUUUUGCAUGUAGAAAGCGUAUGUGCAUUCUUAUUUCAAAUAAAUGACACUUGUUUUGAUGUUUAAUGCAGUAGCAUUUUUAAGCAUGUGCUUAAUGUCCAAAAACAUGUAGAGCAACUGGGUCUGUCUUCAAUACAUUUUCUGUUGCAGAUGCUCUAGAAAAGCUUGAUGAACCGGUUCUGUCAGGUCCGUCUGCUGCAUCAGAAGGUUCAGUUGUGGAUUUCUUCUGUGAUAUUCCUGGGAAACCAGCAGCAUUGUCUGUACACUAAGAGCUCUAUGUUGAGUCAAACCAGGGUGAGAUGAUUGGGGAGUGCUCCUCGCUCUCUGGAGAAAAAGCCACUAUUUCUCAGGUUAUCAGAAAACAACAUGACGCUAGACUCAUCUACAAGGCCAGCGGACACAAUAACACUCAGAGUCAUUGGUGAGGUGUGUGACAUGAGUGUAAUCAUAUUAAGCAAUUUCUGUCCUCUAAAUGAUCAACAUGAUCAAACUUAGCUUUUGCACACAAUCUCCUCAUGUCUUCUGUCUCUGAUUGAUAGUUUAGAGUGUUUUAUCCAGUAAAAGCUCUUUUAGUGUAAUCUGCUUCAGCUACUGCUUCUGGUGUCAGAUCUUGAGUGAUUUUGAUCAAGUAAAGGUCAGAAUAACUGCAGUAAUAUCUCCAGAUGAACUCUUACUGGACUGAAGCAGCUCAGCUUUACUUGAUUCUCCAUCAAUCAUGUUUUAGAGUCUCAAAUCUGAUCAUCAGGAUCUUUUGAGGAGCGUUUGUUUCCUAGAAGCUUUACUUUCACUGUUCCUCAGCGGAGGAAUGAUCUUCACAAGCCUCCAGAACAUCUCACAUCUUCUGAGGAGCCUUUAUUCUUCAUCUCUCAAUCUCAAAAUUUCGUCACAGAGAUAUCAGCAUCUGCAGCAAAUUCAUAUUUUUGAAUUUGUUUGAGUCUCUGAAUAAAAUUGGGGUUGUUUUUUCCUUCAUAUUCUCACUGUAUCAGACUAUAUGAGCUGUAAAAGCCUGAUGGAUCAAAUAUGAUCUGUGAUUUGCAGUUCCAGUGGGGGAAGUUUGAAGAAACUUUUGAUUUCUUCUGUAUGUCGAGAGUAUUUUCUGAUUUAUGGAGUGAUAAUUUGCUUCCAUAACUUGUCUAUCAUAUGUAAAGAAACAUCCAAAUUACAAUUAAAGUGUUUAUUACACUUUUCUCUACACUACUUAAAAAUAAAGGUGACUUUAAAAUCUUCUUCCCAGCA
rnacentral:lncRNA from 1 species